rnacentral:lncRNA from 1 species
GGCGUCUAUCCAAAAAGUAUGGAUCUGGAUUGGGCAGACAGGAAGAGAAAGCCUGAGCCCGUGCACCUGCCUGUCACGGGGUGGGCUUCUAAGUCUCAUGGCUCUGUAGCUCUGCUCCCUUCUGUGCGGGCUGGGACUGCUAGGUCUGAGCGUACUCACUAGCACAGGCAGUAGUUUCUCCUCCAGCAGAGACAUGAAGGCUAGGGUAUCUGCUCCUUGGCGAGCUGACAGAUCGUAGUCGGCAUUAUACUUCUGUGGAAGAAAUGUUCAUGGGGUGAAUAUUGAAGGAUUGCAGGGACACUUAUUUUUUCAGUAGAGAAGGAACAGUAACCCCACACUAGCCUCAAGCAUAGUAGAGGUAGAAGAAGGAGUCUUUCCUGCUGAGGUCUCCUUGCCUCAGCUCAGUGAGUAGCCUGUUGCUGUUGGCAGAAAGCCUGGGCUUUGGAGCCCACUGGCUGUCAAGGUCCUGCACCCACUGCGGGGAGGGAAGAAGGCCUGGCCACAAAGUGGGAGCAGCUCCCGGACUUUCCACGGAAAGCUGGCGGGGUGCCUGCCGACAGCAGCUCUCUAACAGUAACUUCCUGAUCUAGACACCACACCACAGAGCUAGCAACGAGGCACUCGGCUGCAGGCUGGGCCUCAGAAGUCAGGGGGCACCAUCCUUACCCUUCUUGAACCCAGUCAAUUUACAUCCAGCCACCCCAACCCCAGCUUGUCCCCCACAGCAAGCUCUUGGCUAUGUCUUGCACUUCACUCCAAACCCUUGUGCACCACUACUGUACCUUCAUCGCACCGGUAUUUCCGUCUUGUCUUAGUGUGGCCCACCUUUCCAGGCUUCAGGCUGUUCCUUAGUACCCCCUCCACAGACUAAGAAAGCUUUGAACCUGCAGAGCCUCUUGAAGAUGACUCUUAAAUUUCCCUGAAUCUCAGUUUCUCCUUUAUGGAAGGAGACAGUAAUGUUUUUCUCUCGAUGUGGCUGGGUUUGGAAAUAAUUUAGGAAAAAACCCUUUGGAAACUGAAAAGGCUGUGUUUAUAUGCAAGUAACCCGGGUCCUGCCAGGAACGCUGGCUUAUAUCUGGAUCCGGUUUCUCCAGGCCGCUAAGCUUCCAUUACUUCCCCAGCUCCCUGGAAAGUAGAAAUGAGAAAGGGGAUUCUAUUUCUGACUGUGUGUUCCCUCUUGGAACAACGCUAUGAAUGCCAGGCCUCUGAGAGCAUCCUGCCUAAGCACCCUAGUUUACAAGUAAGGAACUGUAGUUGGUGAGCUGCCUUAGCAGGUAACUGUCCUUGCUGUCAGGCUCAAUGACAAGAGUUGCAUUGCAGGAGGCCACAUAGCAGAAGGAAAGGACUUAGUCUACCAAGCUGUCCAAGGACCUCCCCAAGUGUGCCACGGCAUGUGCUCACACACACACACACACCCCAAAGCAAGAGAAAUAAAUGCUUACAAAACAAAUAGUUCAUUACUUUGAGAAGUUAAAUCACCUGUCCAACGUCAUAGUCAAUGACAGAAUAACAGAGCCAAGGCCUCUACUCUCUCGUAAUUCUUAAUCAUCCAAACCUGGCACGAAGCUUUGUCCAUCCUGAGUCCUGUAUCUAGCAUAACUUAGCACUUGAGAAGAGAAAUAGUCCUUAGAAAUCUUUGUGGUUUUUUUCUCUCUCUCUCUCUCCCCCGACUUUUACUCCUUUCUUUGACAGUUCUGGCCUGGAACUCACUCUAUAGAGCAGGCUGACUUUCAACUACAGAGAUCUGCCUGCCUCUGCCUUCUAGGUGUUCAGAUUAAAGAUGUGUGCCACCACUGCCCAGUGACUUUUUUCUUUUUUGAGAGGGGUUCUUAUGUCUUCCAGGCUGGCCCCAAACACACUAUGUAGCCAAAGAUGAUUUUAAAUUUCUGAUCAUCCCACUUCUACCAAGUGCUGGGAUUAUAUGCGUGUACCACCAUGACGGUUUAUAUUAGAAAUUCCUUUCAGGUCUACCCGGAAACCAACUGCUGUUCUCUACUCUUCUUUAUUUUCCAUGUGUCAUCAGCCUGUGUAUUUCUCUUCCUCCCUGCCCAUUUGAUUUCUCCGCUUAUCCCACCCCACAGCCCCUUAAGUUCACUAUCUGGCCAACUGCUUGUCACAGUCACACUGCAUCCCCCAUGCUGCUCCUCCCUGCUCUGGAUCACACUGCUCUUGCCUGGCCUGUGUCUGGUGGCCAAUAAAUAAGUUACACUUCACGGACUGGAUUUCCUCCAUUGUCAGCCCCCACUCAAGUCACCUACCUCUUUACGAAGAUGGGUGAUGAUCUUGUGUGGCACUGUAAUGACUUUCCCAUCACUGGUUCGAAGAGCAGGCAGAGUUCCUGAUAUUGAGAAAGAAGUAUACUCACAGGGUCCAGCUUGCCUAGUCAUACUCAUUUGCAUUGCAUUCCUGUCCCCUGCUCCUCCCCUGGCACAUUCCUGUCCCUCAGGGAUACCUGAAGGGCUCUGCCAAGGAUUGCUGGUCUUGUGUAUCUUCAGUGGGGCGCCUGUAAAUCUGGUAUAGGUCUGCAGGGAAGGAAGCAGACGGUAGAGAGGCCAGGGUAUGGCUUCAUAAAGAAACCAAGAAAAGAAUCCGUGACUCAGUAAAUUAUGUUCUAUGGUCUAUACUUUUAUACCAAAAGGAGAGGCGGAAAGAGGGUGUCAUUCCUAUUUACAAAUGGGCAAACUAGACCAGACAGUUCAUGGACAUGUUUAUAUGUCCAUUUCCAAGAUUAAACAUUAGG